rnacentral:sRNA from 1 species
GCCGGGUGCGGUGGUACAUGCCUGUAAUCCCAGCAGCUCAGGAGGCUGAGACAGGAGAAUCACAAGUUCAAAGCCAGCCUUAGCAAAAGUGAGGCACUAAGCAAUUUAGUGAGACUCUGUCUCUA